GUCAGGGGGUACCCUCGGGAGUCACCGGGGACCUCAGGCGCCGCUAGACCGGCUCAGGGACUCUAGGGGGUGGGGCUACCUUACUAAUGGCCCGUUCUGCCAGCAGGUGAUUUCCUGCUUCUGCCUUGAAAUAAAGGCUAACAUCAGGAGAAAGCAGAACCCGGUGUCUCCAAACCUGGAUUAGCAUGGCCGUGUGAGGAGGCAGGAGAGAAACCAUUUCACCUAGGAACCACAUGGAUUGAAAAUUGUAAAGUCACACUCAUGAAACCCCAUGAAAGCAGAACCACCAUUCUCCCUGUAUACCGUUCCGCAUCUGGACUGUGCUCGGUGCUGCCCAGUGAUGACAGGGAAGCCUGGCAACUCAUCAAAUGACAAGCAAGUGGACACCGUAAACUCUGACGUUAUGCAAUGCUCAUAAUCUCCCCUGAGAUGACAUCUAUUAAAAGCUGCUUGAUACCAGAGUAUUUUUAUGAAGAAUACAAAAAAGUGGACAUAAGUAAAACAUUUGAGGACUGUAACCUGUUGAGACUGCUACUCUUACCAUGUGAACUUGAGAGAAUCAGAUUGUUUCCAUUUCCUGACUUCUAGGUAGAGGGGUAUUUGAAACUGCCAAAUGUUUCAAAGGUCAUUAUCAAGGGAUUAAUAAAGUAAAAUUUAAAAUUCCUUAGAUCUUGAAG
rnacentral:lncRNA from 1 species